GGGGAUUAGUGGCGAACGGGUGAGUAUCACGUGGGCAAUCUGCCCUUCACUCUGGGACAAGCCCUGGAAACGGUGUCUAAUACCGGAUAACACUGCGGAUCGCAUGGUCUGCGGUCGAAAGCUCCGUCGGUGAAGGACGAGCCCGCGGCGCUAUCAGCUUGUUGGUGAGGUGAUGGCCUACCAAGGCGACGACGGGUAGCCGCCCUGAGAGGGCGACCGGCCACACUGGGUCUGUGACACGGCCCCGACUCUUACGGGAGUCAGCAGUGGGGAAUAUUGCACAAUGGGCGAAACCUUGAUGCAGCGACGCCGCGUGAGGGACGACGGCCUUCGGGUUGUAAACCUCUUUCAGCAGGGAAGAAGCGAAAGAGACGGUACCUGCAGACGAAGCCCCGGCUACCUUCGUGCCAGCAGCCGCGGUAAUACGUAGGGCGCAAGCGUUGUCCGGAAUUAUUGGGCGUAAAGAGCUCGUAGGCGGCUAGUCGCGUCGGACGUGAAAGCCCGGGGCUCAACCCGGGGUCUGCAUUCGAUACGGGCAGGCUAGAGUGUGGUAGGGGAGAUCGGAAUUCCUGGUGUAGCGGUGAAAUGCGCUGAUAUCAGG
rnacentral:rRNA from 1 species